rnacentral:rRNA from 1 species
AUCCCAAAACUAUUUAGCUAGAGUGUGGGAGGGGAAGAUGGAAUUAGUUGUGUAGGGGUAAAAUCCGUAGAGAUAACUAGGAAUACCAAAAGCGAAGGCAAUCUUCUGGAACAUUACUGACGCUGAGGCGCGAAAGCGUGGGGAGCAAACAGGAUUAGAUACCCUGGUAGUCCACGCCCUAAACGAUGAAUGUUAGUCGUCGGGUAGCUAGUCUAUUCGGUGAUGCAGCCAACGCAUUAAACAUUCCGCCUGGGGAGUACGGUCGCAAGAUUAAAACUCAAAGGAAUAGACGGGGACCCGCACAAGUGGUGGAGCAUGUGGUUUAAUUCGAAGAUACGCGAAGAACCUUACCUAGCCUUGACAUAUUUAAGAAUCCGAUAGAGAUAUUGGAGUGCCUUCGGGAGCUUUCUUACAGGUGCUGCACGGCUGUCGUCAGCUCGUGUCGUGAGAUGUUGGGUUAAGUCCCGCAACGAGCGCAACCCUCGUCACUAGUUACUAACGGUUCGGCCGAGGACUCUAGUGAGACUGCCUUCGUAAGGAGGAGGAAGGUGAGGACGACGUCAAGUCAUCAUGGCCCUUACGGCUAGGGCAACACACGUGCUACAAUGGCCAGGACAGUGAGACGCGAUACCGUGAGGUGGAGCAAAUCUAUAAACCUGGUCUCAGUUCGGAUUGUAGUCUGCAACUCGACUACAUGAAGCUGGAAUCACUAGUAAUCGUAGAUCAGCUAUGCUACGGUGAAUACGUUCCCGGGUCUUGUACUCACCGCCCGUCACACCAUGGGAGUUGAUUUCACCCGAAGCGGGGAAGCUAAACUGGCUACCCUCCACGGUGGAAUUAGCGACUGGGGUGAAGUCGUAACAAGGUAACC